CUUCAUUCCCCUAGCAAAGCGUCAGUAUAUAUACUGUGGGCACCCUUAGCAGGCAGGAGGGGCAGGCAGCUCAGCUUCACCAGGAGCCUCCUUGGGAAGCAACAGCCAAAGCAGGAUGAAGCUUUUCCUGGGCAUCCUCUUGUGCUCCCUGGUCCUGGGUGUCAGCAGCCAAAGGUGGUUAACCUUCCUCACGGAAGCUGCUCAAGGGACUAGAGACAUGGUGAGAGCUUACUCUGACAUGAGAGAAGCCAAUUACAAAAAUUC